rnacentral:tRNA from 1 species
GGAAGGGUGUCCGAGCGGUUUAAGGAAAUAGUCUUGAAAACUAUCGUGCCGGAAACGGCACCGUGAGUUCGAAUCUCACCCCUUCCG